rnacentral:rRNA from 1 species
CGACUUAUAUUCUGUAGCAAGGUUAACCGAAUAGGGGAGCCGGAGGGAAACCGAGUCUUAAUUGGGCGUUAAGUUGCAGGGUAUAGACCCGAAACCCGGUGAUCUAGCCAUGGGCAGGUUGAAGGUUGGGUAACACUAACUGGAGGACCGAACCGACUAAUGUUGAAAAAUUAGCGGAUGACCUGUGGCUGGGGGUGAAAGGCCAAUCAAACCGGGAGAUAGCUGGUUCUCCCCGAAAGCUAUUUAGGUAGCGCCUCGUGAAUUCAUCUCCGGGGGUAGAGCACUGUUUCGGCUAGGGGGCCAUCCCGGCUUACCAACCCGAUGCAAACUGCGAAUACCGGAGAAUGUUAUCACGGGAGACACACGGCGGGUGCUAACGUCCGUCGUGAAGAGGGAAACAACCCAGACCGCCAGCUAAGGUCCCAAAGUCAUAGUUAAGUGGGAAACGAUGUGGGAAGGCCCAGACAGCCAGGAUGUUGGCUUAGAAGCAGCCAUCAUUUAAAGAAAGCGUAAUAGCUCACUGGUCGAGUCGGCCUGCGCGGAAGAUGUAACGGGGCUAAACUAUGCACCGAAGCUGCGGCAGCGACACUAUGUGUUGUUGGGUAGGGGAGCGUUCUGUAAGCCUGUGAAGGUGUGUCGUGAGGCAUGCUGGAGGUAUCAGAAGUGCGAAUGCUGACAUAAGUAACGAUAAAGCGGGUGAAAAGCCCGCUCGCCGGAAGACCAAGGGUUCCUGUCCAACGUUAAUCGGGGCAGGGUGAGUCGACCCCUAAGGCGAGGCCGAAAGGCGUAGUCGAUGGGAAACGGGUUAAUAUUCCCGUACUUGGUGUUACUGCGAAGGGGGGACGGAGAAGGCUAUGUUGGCCGGGCGACGGUUGUCCCGGUUUAAGCGUGUAGGUGUGUGUUCCAGGUAAAUCCGGUUCACUUUAACACUGAGGCGUGAUGACGAGGCACUACGGUGCUGAAGCAACAAAUGCCCUGCUUCCAGGAAAAGCCUCUAAGCAUCAGGUAACAUCAAAUCGUACCCCAAACCGACACAGGUGGUCAGGUAGAGAAUACCAAGGCGCUUGAGAGAACUCGGGUGAAGGAACUAGGCAAAAUGGUGCCGUAACUUCGGGAGAAGGCACGCUGACACGUAGGUGAAGUGAUUUACUCAUGGAGCUGAAGUCAGUCGAAGAUACCAGCUGGCUGCAACUGUUUAUUAAAAACACAGCACUGUGCAAACACGAAAGUGGACGUAUACGGUGUGACGCCUGCCCGGUGCCGGAAGGUUAAUUGAUGGGGUCAGCGCAAGCGAAGCUCCUGAUCGAAGCCCCGGUAAACGGCGGCCGUAACUAUAACGGUCCUAAGGUAGCGAAAUUCCUUGUCGGGUAAGUUCCGACCUGCACGAAUGGCGUAAUGAUGGCCAGGCUGUCUCCACCCGAGACUCAGUGAAAUUGAACUCGCUGUGAAGAUGCAGUGUACCCGCGGCAAGACGGAAAGACCCCGUGAACCUUUACUAUAGCUUGACACUGAACAUUGAGCCUUGAUGUGUAGGAUAGGUGGGAGGCUUUGAAGUGUGGACGCCAGUCUGCAUGGAGCCGACCUUGAAAUACCACCCUUUAAUGUUUGAUGUUCUAACGUGGACCCGUGAUCCGGGUUGCGGACAGUGUCUGGUGGGUAGUUUGACUGGGGCGGUCUCCUCCUAAAGAGUAACGGAGGAGCACGAAGGUUGGCUAAUCCUGGUCGGACAUCAGGAGGUUAGUGCAAUGGCAUAAGCCAGCUUGACUGCGAGCGUGACGGCGCGAGCAGGUGCGAAAGCAGGUCAUAGUGAUCCGGUGGUUCUGAAUGGAAGGGCCAUCGCUCAACGGAUAAAAGGUACUCCGGGGAUAACAGGCUGAUACCGCCCAAGAGUUCAUAUCGACGGCGGUGUUUGGCACCUCGAUGUCGGCUCAUCACAUCCUGGGGCUGAAGUAGGUCCCAAGGGUAUGGCUGUUCGCCAUUUAAAGUGGUACGCGAGCUGGGUUUAGAACGUCGUGAGACAGUUCGGUCCCUAUCUGCCGUGGGCGCUGGAGAACUGAGGGGGGCUGCUCCUAGUACGAGAGGACCGGAGUGGACGCAUCACUGGUGUUCGGGUUGUCAUGCCAAUGGCACUGCCCGGUAGCUAAAUGCGGAAGAGAUAAGUGCUGAAAGCAUCUAAGCACGAAACUUGCCCCGAG